rnacentral:tmRNA from 1 species
GGGGGCGUACCGGUUUCGACGGGGGCGCGGAGGCCGGAUAAGCGGGCGGCGGCGCCUGACCGCCAUAAAACGGGCAAUUAAAAAUUAACUAACAACACUAACACUGUUGCUGUCGCUGCCUAAGCAGUGACCGUCUGAACCGGAGUGGCCGCGGGCCGGGGAAGGCGUCGUUAACGCGGCGUCCGUGCGGCGGGUAAGAGUUGCCCCGCCCACGCACUAUGACUCUACUGAAGCGCCAAGUCUGUUAAGUGCCUUAGCGCGGAGGGAAUGAAGAAACUUAACUGCGCCCGGAGAAAGUCUUGUCAAAACGCUUUCGGACAGGGGUUCGACUCCCCUCGCCUCCACCA